GUUCUUCGGAUUUUGAUUCCGGUUGGCCAAGAAGAACCCAAGAACCCAAUUCGCAUUGUCUUCCAAAAACAAACAGCAGAAAACGCGCACUUAUCCGCCUCGCAGCCGCUCGGACUAUUCUAAAGCCCGUGUCAGCCGAUUUCGCAAUCUGAAAUUGAAAGCGGCUAAACAAAUAAAUGCAUCCAUCAUUAGCGUCGCGCCGUGCGUGCGUGCGCACGUGGGCGCGCUUCUCCUACCUACGAUGAAUAGUGUGUGUAACUACGACUGUGUGCGUGUGCGUGUGCGUGCCCGAAGCAGAGGAAGCGUGCGUGCGGAGUGCCGUGGGACGAACGAAGCCAGUGGUGGAGUAGGUAGACGAUUGAAGAGAAAAGGAGAGGAGUUCUGGCAGACAAACAGAGAAUAGAACAGAGAUGAUUCAGCGCCUCCGCAUUGUCCACGGUUCUCACGGAACUUCCAUUUACGUAUUUCUCAACACGAAGACGUGUCACGAGGAGCAGCGAAUAACCCACGUUUACCGAAAGCCCACGACGACGCGUCGUUCGUGCAGCGACAUUUCAUGCUCACGCAACCGCAAUUAAAACAGACCAAGCAGAAGAAACGAGAAAUGAAAAAAAGAACGGUGAACUUUCAUAAGUGGUUCGUGGGAGAGCUUCAUAAACGAGCAGCACUUCAUUAGCUCGGUACCAGGAGACGAUCGUUUGACUCUUCCAUGGCUCGUCACAUCUUGUCGUUUUCGUUGACGUCGUUCGAGAGAAAUGGUAGAGCCGUUCUCGUCGUGCGUGGAAUGGGAAAUCGCCUUUGAGGUCACCACGACGGAGGAAGUUCGUCACGUGGUUCGACGCGGUUGCUUCGCCUUAACCUCGUAAAGCAUUUAAAUGGAAAGUUAAGGUAAACGCGCCAAAAUUAAGGUCGCAGUCGUGCGUCGGCACAGACAAAAGCUACCAGCUGGGAUCCUCGGAUUUUCUCCAAGCUGACUAACAUCGAACGCGAUGGAUUGGAUUGAAUUGGCUCGACUCCACGCCUGUGUACAUAACGUCGAUCGUUGUCGAUCAACCGCGAUCCAGCAAAUCGCUUCGAAUGAAUAUCCGCGGGAACGUCUGGCUUGAACCAAUCAAACCAAUUACGUGCGAUUUAUUAUACACACAUGCGUAUAUAAAUAUACAUUCGUUUCUGGCUACACGACUUGUUUACAUUGGAUUUAAUAAAAUAUCGACACAGUUACGAUACA